AGGACGAACGCUGGCGGCGUGCUUAACACAUGCAAGUCGAGCGGUAAGGCCUUUCGGGGUACACGAGCGGCGAACGGGUGAGUAACACGUGGGUGAUCUGCCCUGCACUUCGGGAUAAGCCUGGGAAACUGGGUCUAAUACCGGAUAUGACCUCCUAUCGCAUGGUGGGUGGUGGAAAGAUUUAUCGGUGCAGGAUGGGCCCGCGGCCUAUCAGCUUGUUGGUGGGGUAAUGGCCUACCAAGGCGACGACGGGUAGCCGACCUGAGAGGGUGACCGGCCACACUGGGACUGAGACACGGCCCAGACUCCUACGGGAGGCAGCAGUGGGGAAUAUUGCACAAUGGGCGAAAGCCUGAUGCAGCGACGCCGCGUGAGGAUGACGGCCUUCGGGUUGUAAACCUCUUUCCAGUCGAGGACGAAGCGACAAGUGACGGUACCUGCAGAAGAAGCACGGCUAACACGUGCCAGCAGCCGA
rnacentral:rRNA from 1 species